rnacentral:rRNA from 1 species
AGACCGAUAGCGAACAAGUACCGUGAGGGAAAGAUGAAAAGCACUUUGGAAGGAGAGUUAAACAGUACGUGAAAUUGUUAAAAGGGAAACGAUUGAAGUCAGUCAUGCUCUCCGAGACUCAGCCGAUUCUGUCGGUGUACUUCUCGGUUGGCAGGCCAGCAUCAGUUUUGAUCUGUGGAAAAGGUUGGAGAGAAUGUGGCAUCCUCGGAUGUGUUAUAGCUCUUCUUCGAAUACAUAGAGCGGGACUGAGGAACGCAGCGUGCCCUUUAUUGGGUUGGCCUUCGGGUACAUACACGCUUAGGAUGCUGGCAUAAUGGCUUUAAACCACCCGUCUUGAAACACGGACCAAG